rfam:Ailuropoda melanoleuca scaffold38_198, whole genome shotgun sequence.
CUCGCAGAGGCUCUUGACCUGGGACUCAGACAGCUGCUUGCACUCGUUCAGCUGCUCGAUCCACUGGUCCAGCUCCUUGGUGAA